UGUCUUGUCUGUCAGGCAGUGACCUCUAGGGAUCAGCCACUCAGCACACUGUGACCGGGACUUAGAGGGCCUGGCAGCUGGAAGUGAAGGGGUUCUUUGUUCUCUCAGUUGGAGCCAGGCAGCGGAAGCAACAGGUAGGCUGGCCAAGCCACGGCAGCAACCAGGAGCUCUGCAGGAGCCUGAAAUCUCUACCAUGGUUUUGACUUGCCGCUGUGUGGACCCCCUGCCCCCAUGACCCCUGCUUCUCUGGACCCUGACCUGUGACCUACUGCUUCUCUGGAGCCCGAUUUGCUCUGCUUCUGGACCCUGACCUGCUCCGCUUCUCUGGACCCUGACCUGCUCUGCUGGACUCUGACCUGCUCUGCUUCUCUGGACCCUGACCUUCUCUUCUGCUCCUGCUGACCUGCUGAUAAUGCUGCCUGCUGACCCUGCCUUAAAAAAAAAUAUUAUCACCCUCCUUCCUAUGGAUUGCCUGCCUCGUCAUCAUGUCAGAUUGGUUGCUAAAUUUUGUGCCAUUGCAUACAAGAUUCAUCAAGUAAUGGUGAAGGCUCCCCCUAUCAGUUAGGGUGAGACCAGGGAAGGGAAGGAAUGCCACUGCUGCAGCUGCCCAGAAGGCAGCCAAUUUAUUGAGAAAAGCUGGAUGUGCAUUACAAGAUCCAACCCUUCUCUUCUGCAGGUUGAGAGCAACUCUGAAGCUGGCAUCAGUAUUAUAAAUAUAAAUAUUUGAUUUAAAAAAUUAGUUACAUUUUGAUCACAUUGUAUAAUGUAAAGAUUUUAUAAUUCAAACUGAGGCACAUAUGGUCUUAUCUAAAAACAUUACCUUAGAGCCUGUGGGCCCAAAUAAGUCACCUCAUGCUUGUUUACUAGGUAUUAUGCUUGGAAAUGGGCCAAGAUGUGUCUGAACAUGUAUAAAUGUGACUUAAUACCUUAUUUCUCGCCCAAGCUGAGAGGUCAUGAGCAUAAAUGGGAUGUGUCCCAGCAGCUAAGCAUCUGUGUUUAUCUUGGCUAUGCAUUUCUGACAGCCAGUGCAGAUGGUCAGUAAAUAUGAAUAACUAAGCCAGCUCCUGCAUCAGACUGCCAUGGUUACUUGGGUAUUUACAUGCUCAAUAUACUUCAGAAUUAUUAUUAAAAUGUAGUAAACAGAAGCAAGUUCCAUUCCACACCACCAAUGAAUACUGAUUUUAGGAGCAUCAGUGUUUCUGAAGUUUGAUUCCCGUUCUGCUUCUGAAAAUGCAGUGGGCUGAAAAUUAAGAAGACAAUUUUUUGGGAUGAAGGAAAUUGGACCACAAACUACAUAUGUCAUUCUGAGGCCUCUUAACUUAUGAGCAGAGGCACCUGCAAAUUAAGCAUCAUCAUGCUCGGCCAGGCAACCACACCACCCGGGACAGACUAAAGAGGAUUUAGGGGGCCCCAGCGGCUGUCAAGGCCCUGGACUUUGGCCUGAAAGUCCAGGGGUAAGAGCACCUCUGCUUAUGAGCCCAGAAGUAAAAUUUAAUAUCUUGGGAUUCUCUCUUCCUAGUUCUGAUAUGAUCAUUUUAAAGGGGUGCUGUUAUGAGGGUGAUGAGUGCAAAA